CGGGGUGCGCAGGCGCGAAAACUUUACAAUGCGGGAAACCGUGAUAAGGGAACUCCGAGUGCCCGUAAAAUCGGGCUGUCCAUCUGUUUAAAUAACAGGUGAAGAAAGGGCCGGGCAAGACCGGUGCCAGCCGCCGCGGUAAUACCGGCGGCUCGAGUGGUGGCCACUAUUACUGGGCUUAAAGCGUUCGUAGCUGGUCUGUUAAGUCUCUGGGGAAAUCUACUGGCUUAACCAAUAGGCGUUUCAGGGAUACUGGCAGACUAGGGACCGGGAGAGGUGAGGGGUACUCCAGGGGUAGGAGUGAAAUCCUGUAAUCCUUGGGGGACCACCUGUGGCGAAGGCGCCUCACCAGAACGGCUCCGACAGUGAGGGACGAAAGCUGGGGGAGCAAACCGGAUUAGAUACCCGGGUAGUCCCAGCCGUAAACGAUGCGCGUUAGGUGUAUCGGUGACCACGAGUCACCGAGGUGCCGAAGAGAAAUCGUGAAACGUGCCGCCUGGGAAGUACGGUCGCAAGGCUGAAACUUAAAGGAAUUGGCGGGGGAGCAC
rnacentral:rRNA from 1 species